rnacentral:rRNA from 1 species
UACGUAGGAUGCAAGCGUUGUCCGGAAUUACUGGGCGUAAAGGGCGCGUAGGCGGGAUGGCAAGUCGGUCGUGAAAUCCCUCGGCUCAACCGAGGAACGUCGAUCGAUACUGCUGUUCUUGAGGAUUGCAGAGGAGACUGGAAUUCCCGGUGUAGCGGUGAAAUGUGUAGAGAUCGGGAGGAACACCGGUGGCGAAGGCGGGUCUCUGGGCAAUUCCUGACGCUGAGGCGCGAAAGCGUGGGGAGCAAACGGG